rnacentral:rRNA from 1 species
GAUGAACGCUGGCGGCGUGCCUAAUACAUGCAAGUCGAGCGAACGGACGAGAAGCUUGCUUCUCUGAUGUUAUCGGCGGACGGGUGAGUAACACGUGGAUAACCUACCUAUAAGACUGGGAUAACUUCGGGAAACCGGAGCUAAUACCGGAUAAUAUUUUGAACCGCAUGGUUCAAAAGUGAAAGACGGUCUUGCUGUCACUUAUAGAUGGAUCCGCGCUGCAUUAGCUAGUUGGUAAGGUAACGGCUUACCAAGGCAACGAUGCAUAGCCGACCUGAGAGGGUGAUCGGCCACACUGGAACUGAGACACGGUCCAGACUCCUACGGGAGGCGGCAGUAGGGAAUCUUCCGCAAUGGGCGAAAGCCUGACGGAGCAACGCCGCGUGAGUGAUGAAGGUCUUCGGAUCGUAAAACUCUGUUAUUAGGGAAGAACAUAUGUGUAAGUAACUGUGCACAUCUUGACGGUACCUAAUCAGAAAGCCACGGCUAACUACGUG